UAGGGAAUAUUGGGCAAUGGGCGCAAGCCUGACCCAGCAACGCCGCGUGAGGGAAGAAGGUUUUCGGAUUGUAAACCUCUGUCCUAUGUGACGAAGGAAGUGACGGUAGCAUAGGAGGAAGCCCCGGCUAACUACGUGCCAGCAGCCGCGGUAAUACGUAGGGGGCGAGCGUUGUCCGGAAUUACUGGGCGUAAAGGGUGCGUAGGCGGUUUGGUAAGUUGGAUGUGAAAUACCCGGGCUUAACUUGGGG
rnacentral:rRNA from 1 species